AUUGAACGCUGGCGGCAGGCCUAACACAUGCAAGUCGAGCGGUAGAGAGGUGCUUGCACCUCUUGAGAGCGGCGGACGGGUGAGUAAUGCCUAGGAAUCUGCCUGGUAGUGGGGGAUAACGCUCGGAAACGGACGCUAAUACCGCAUACGUCCUACGGGAGAAAGCAGGGGACCUUCGGGCCUUGCGCUAUCAGAUGAGCCUAGGUCGGAUUAGCUAGUUGGUGAGGUAAUGGCUCACCAAGGCGACGAUCCGUAACUGGUCUGAGAGGAUGAUCAGUCACACUGGAACUGAGACACGGUCCAGACUCCUACGGGAGGCAGCAGUGGGGAAUAUUUGACAAUGGGCGAAAGCCUGAUCCAGCCAUGCCGCGUGUGUGAAGAAGGUCUUCGGAUUGUAAAGCACUUUAAGUUGGGAGGAAGGGUCGUUACCUAAUACGUGACGAUUUUGACGUUACCGACAGAAUAAGCACCGGCUAACUCUGUGCCAGCAGCCGCCGUAAUAC
rnacentral:rRNA from 1 species